AGCUGGAUGGUUUUGUUGAAAAGCGUAAAUGUUAAAUUCAAUCUUGUUUAUCGAUCAAACAUUGGAGAACAGGAGUAUCGGUUCUGAGUUUUUGACCGUAUAAUGAUUUUUUUUUUCGUUCGACUGUCAGAUGGAAGUUCUUGAUGAGAACGAAUGGUGGAGUAAGAUGCAGCAGAUGAAAAAUGGAGGAGAACAGGAAAUGAUAAUAAGACGCAAUUAUAGUCGCUCUGACCAGCAAACUCUCGGUGAUAUGGCUUAUCAGCUGGGCCUUCACUUGUAAGUAUAUAUAUCUACUUUUAAUUAAGUUCGCGGAGCUGCUUAUGAAGUUCAUUGUUAUAUGGCUCAUCAACUUGGUAUUGCAUUUUGAGCAACAUAACAAUGAACUUCGGUGUUUUGGAAAAAUGAUUAGUUAUGGUUUCUUGGCCAAAAGUAGGAAACACAUGUAAUCCACCUUUAGUCUUUGGAAACAUGCAGUUCGUCCAAGCUUCUUUUAAAGAAUUAUGUUUCCAUGAAAUGUAUUAUUAUUCCAAUUUAUAUUAUUUGCAAUGAUUUUCUAUAAUUUUGUGGUUUUUGUACUUGUGGAAAGAAAGUCAUGCAUACAAUAAAGGGAAAGCUCUUGUGGUUAGCAAAGUCCCAUUGCCAGAUUAUCGAGCAGAUCUCGACGACCGCCAUGGGUCCACCCAGAAAGAGGUUUAGCAAUGUGUAAAUUAUAUAUGAAGUUUAAUGUUAUCUACGUGUACUGGCUAAUCUUUGUAAUAACUACAUAACCUCUUGCAGAUUCAAAUGUCUACAGAAACUGAGAGGAGAGUCGGAGGUCUUUUGAAAAAUUCACAAGGGUUGAUCUCCAAUAAUGAUUCUGGUACGACAUCUUCCGUAGGAAACAAAGCAUCAUCAAUUGGUACAAAAGUAACGGAUCCCGUGUCUAAUCUGGGAAAUGAUUCUGCUAAGGAGAAACUCAAUAUUGAACUAAAGCAGAAGCAGGAAAAAAUGAAGGUAACAUGCUAAGCUAACAAGUAAGAAAUAAAUGCCCAAAUUGUUUGCAUCUCUAUUUUAAGCAAUUGCAUUACCUUUUUUUCUUGCUUUCAGGCAAGUCAGAGUGCAAAGGCAAUGCAGUCUUUCAGAGAAAAACUUCCUGCAUUCAAAGUCAGAGCUGAGUUUUUGAAAGCUGUUGCUGAAAAUCAGGUAAAUAUUAUUUACGCAUGAUUGUUUUGAAACCAUUUUGUCUCAAGUAAGGACAAAUUGGGAAGUCAUAAUUUAGGAAAUUGCCUUUCUUGUCUAUUUGUUGAAGUAAUUAGUUUUUUAUAUAUUUGCCCCAGUGCUUGAAAUGUUGUGCUAUAAUCUGUGCCAUUGAGAUUUUGUGAUAGUUUCAUUUAAGCUUUUGGAAAACAAAUACACAAUUUGUACGACGAAUGAAGCAAUCAAGAUAAGAUGAGAGUAAUAUAUAUAAUUUUUUUGGCAGAAAAGUGGGAGUAAUAUUUUUUUUUUUUUGCUUGAAAAACUCUGGUUAGUGCCCAAGCGUAAUCUAGGGCAACCAUUCAGUAGCAUCUCUUCUCAUAGUUAUUGAUAUGAAGAUUUCAAAUACUUUUCUGUUGUAUCUUCUGUUUACCAAAUCUCCCUGACAGGAAAUGUCUUUGACCCAUCAACUACUGAUUUAUUUUUGCUUGACAAUAUAGGUAUUAGUAGUCUCAGGAGAGACAGGAUGUGGUAAGACAACACAACUUCCUCAAUUUAUAUUAGAAGAGGAGAUAUCAUGUAUGCGGGGUGCUCAUUGCAACAUAAUCUGCACACAACCCCGUCGCAUAUCUGCAAUUUCUGUUGCAGCUCGAAUAUCCUGUGAAAGAGGAGAGUCUCUUGGUGAAUCUGUGGGUUAUCAGAUUCGCCUGGAAGCAAAACGCACUGAGCAAACACGUCUGUUAUUCUGCACAACUGGAGUAUUACUUCGUCAGUUGGUAUGAAUUUUUAUACGAUAUCCAUCUCAUCUUGUUGGAAGUCUUUUUAGUUCAAUUUCCAGUUUUUAUUCUGCCCUUCCAACUUUUAAAUCUGCAUUUUUUUUUCUGGAUGGACUGUAUCUUAAACUUGCAUGUUUCUUUUCAUCUGUAUCCUGUGAAUAGAAUAUUGUAUCACUUUCUAUCUCUUUGCUGGAAAACUUUGACUAUCGGCUUAGAUGCAGUUGGUGUUGGUAGUUGCUAGUAAAACCCCAAGGUUUUCCAGAACAAGUGUAUCUUUCAUUUCAUAUUUAAUUGUUUGUCCUUAGCAACUUCCUGUCAUGAAGCUGAUUAUUUUUAGAUUCUGUCAUGAAGCUGAUUAUUUUUAGAUUUUUGAGAAUAGCUUCUGAAUUGCACUUUUCCAUUUUAAAUUUGAUGUUAAACUGCAGGUUCAGGACCCUAAUUUGACUGGUGUGAGCCAUUUGCUUGUGGACGAAAUUCAUGAACGGGGGAUGAAUGAAGAUUUUCUUUUAAUUAUUUUGCGGGACCUUCUACCACGGCGUCCCGACUUACGCCUUAUUCUGAUGAGUGCUACCAUUAAUGCCAAUCUGUUCUCAGAAUACUUUGGAAAUGCUCCUACCAUGCACAUACCAGUAUAACGAACAUUUAACAUUUUAUUUGCUCUCUGUGAAAAUGUGAUAAUUAACUUUGUUUGUUAACUUUUCUUCUUUCGACGUAUUGGCAGGGGUUGACCUUUCCUGUAGCAGAGUUUUUUCUAGAAGAUGUGCUGGAGAAAACUCAUUACAAUAUUAAAUCAGAGUUUGACAACUUCCAGGGGAAAUCAAGAAGAACAAGGACAGAAUCAGAAUCUGAGAAAGAUCCUUUAACUGCAGUAUUUGAGGUAUGGUUGAAUUCUCCGAGUGAUGAAAUUAGUAAAUACUAUUCUCCUUUAAUGAAGCAAAUUAUGCAAGGAGUGUUUGUAUACCAUCAGUCUGUUAAUCUUGACUUCUAUGAUUCUAGUUAAUUCUAGUUGACUUCUAUGACAAACUAGCCAUCAGUAUUGAAAAUUCCAACAAAGAUGAUUUUCAUAAACAGUUAAAUAUAUCACAAGUUCUUUCGCCUCUCUAAAUCAUGAUCAUAUAGAGUAUGGUUGCAGCUUCAGCCUGCCAUAUACGAAAUGAAGAUUCUGGCUUAUGGCUUUGGUUUCCUCAUAUUUUCCUCAUAACCUUCAGUUUGCUACUGAUAGACACUGAUUAUAAAUAUUGACACCACUCUGUGCUCUGAGUAAGUAUGUGAUCAUGGAGGUUGCAAAGUAUUUAUUAUCUACUGGGAACCCAGCAUGUAAUAUUUUUUGCCACUGAUUGAAUUUAGUUGAAUUGGUUUCUUUUCUGGAAAAAAGAGAGAACAGAAAAGAUUGCAAUGUAGAGAAGAGUAAGAAGCCUGUUUCCUGGUCUUUAAUAUGCAAACAAGAAUUUAUGUUAGAUUUCUUUCCCUAACUCUGAUUCGUUUUUAAUGUAUUAAUACAGUUUUAAUCUGCUUUAUCGAAUUCUUCUAGUCAACAAUAUGGGUGGUACCUGUUUUUUGGUACCUUGUGAAUAAUACUUUACACUUUUUAUUUCAAAAAAACAAUAUAGGCGGAUAAUUUCUUUGAUCAUUUUGGGUUUCCUUUCAAAUGUUUUACACAUCUUAAUUCAGUUUCUUAUCAGAUGGUGAUCAGUUUAUAAACUGAACCAUGUUUUAAAAUUUUUAUUUAUGUGUGGACUAUUCGAAGGGAAUGUCUUUUCUUCAAUUAUCAAUCUGAGGUUUUCCCUUUGUGGCUCCAUGUACUUACUAUGGUAUUGCUUUCUUGUCUAGGAACUUGAUAUUAAUUCACACUACAGCCAUUAUGGCACAUCUACAAAACUUUCUCUUGAAGCUUGGUCUGCCUCACAGCUUGAUUUGGGUUUGGUAUGUACUUUGAGGAAUUGGUGACCAAUAUCUUGUUUCAGUACCUGCGGUAGAAUAGAUUAAUUCUAAAUACAUUAUUCACUAUUACAAUCACUUUAUAGUUUUUAAUUAAGAGUCCAUUUGUUGUUUCUUUUGGUGACAUUGGAGCUGUUAUCGAUAUUUUCUUAAAUAUGUAAUACUUUGUACAUGGGCGGUACCCCCUUGGUGCCAUUUUUUAAUACAUCUACUAACUUCUAUUUCAAAAAAAGAGUCCAUUCUUUGUUCCUAAAGGACAUCAUCAAUAAGUGGUUUUAAGGUUUUAAGAUUUUAGAAUGCAAGGAUUUACGAAUUUAUUGUUCCUUAAGGUAUAUUUAAAUUUUGUGAUGGAAUAUCCUAAUGGUUUAUUAUAAAUACGUUAGGAUAUUAGGUGGAGAAUUUUAAGCCUUCUGGACUGGAACAGAAUGAAAAACUUUGGAAGUCCUUGUGUUUCAAAAUGUCAAAAAUCCAUAGAAUAGAACACACCUUUUAAUCAUAUCUAUUGCUGAAAACUACUUGCAGGUGGAGUCAACAAUUGAGUACAUAUGUCGCAAAGAAGGUGACGGAGCAAUUCUUGUAUUCUUGACUGGCUGGGAUGAAAUUUCGAAACUUCUAGACAAAAUUAAAGCAAACAACUUUCUUGGGAACCUUAGCAAGUUUCUAGUCCUUCCCCUGCACGGCUCGAUGCCCACAAUCAAUCAACGUGAAAUUUUUGACCGUUCACCACCUAACAAGCGGUAAAAACUUUUAUACUAUCAGUUUUUUCUUCUAUUUCUAUUAAAAAAAAUCUCGUGUUCGUAAAUAGUUUUCCUCUAUUACUUUUUUUCAACUCCUUUAUUGUUUUCUAUUGAUAGGCUCUAUUAGUUUGUUUUACAAAUGCUGCUAUGGUAAUUUGUAUAUUGUCUUUUAAGGUGAAAAAUCUCAUGCCUUGUCAGAAUUAUUUAUUCUGAAUUUAUGGAUAUUUAGCAAAAUCUUCAUGCUAUAGAGAUGACUGGAUUAUAUUUUUCUUAUGGUCUAUUUCCUUUUUUAUUUAUGCCAAAGUAUAUGUUAUUUUAUUGAUUGGGCAAUUGCUGUAAUUUUUGGUGGGAUUUGUUUGAUGUUCAGUACUUUGUCUGAUAAAUAUAUGUCAAAUAUUUUCUUGAUAUUUGGCAUGGAAAGGUCAUAGGAGUUUACUUAGCUAAUUGUUGUAUUAUUAGUACUCACUAAACACCCUAUAGUUUAUCAAACAUAUUAUAUCUAUUCUUCUUUUAAAAAAAAAUUCAGUUCAAUCAUAAUGAGAGGUUUUCUUUUCCUGCAUCACAAAUGCGUUUUUGUUUUUUCAAAAAGAAGGAAAACUGGAAGUACCUUCAGACUGCUUCUUUUGUCUUCUAGAAGUCUGAGUCUGCUUUUUUUUCCCAGGAAAAUUGUUCUGGCAACUAAUAUUGCAGAGAGCAGUAUUACCAUUGAUGAUGUUGUGUAUGUUAUAGACUGCGGAAAGGCAAAAGAAACCAGUUACGAUGCUCUCAAUAAGCUUGCUUGCCUUUUACCUUCAUGGAUUUCAAAGGCUUCAGCCCAUCAGGUAUUUUAACAAGUAGUUUGGAAAUAUAGUGGGCAGUUUUAGAAUUCUAACUAUUGCAGCUAGAUUGCUCCUUUUUCAUUUGAAAUCAUCCUUUUAUUAGCAUGCUAAUACAUUUACAGAGACGAGGUCGUGCUGGUCGUGUGCAACCUGGAGUUUGCUAUAGACUGUAUCCAGAAGUUAUCCAUGAUGCAAUGCCACAGUAUCAAUUACCUGAAAUUCUUCGAACUCCUUUGCAAGAAUUAUGCCUGCAUAUCAAAAGCUUGCAGCUUGGAGCUGUUGGAUCAUUUUUGGCAAAGGCUCUUCAGCCACCAGAUCCUCUUUCUGUUCAAAAUGCAAUUGAACUUCUUAAAACUAUUGGAGCUUUAGAUGAUAUGGAGGAGCUUACUCCACUUGGUAUGAAACAUUCCCUUCAAACUUCUUCUCCUAGCACAUAUUAGCCUCAUGAUAUAUUGGAUAACGUGGAGCACUCGCUUUCAGGUAGCCAUCUUUGCACUCUACCUUUGGACCCAAAUAUUGGAAAAAUGCUUCUAAUUGGUGCUAUUUUUAAAUGCCUAAAUCCUGCUUUGACAAUUGCGGCCGCUCUGGCACAUCGAGACCCUUUUGUCCUGCCGAUAAAUAGGAAAGAGGAGGCUGAUGCUGCAAAAAGAUCGUUUGCUGGUGACUCCUGCAGGUCAGGCCUUUAAAUUGAUCUUCUCUUAUAGAAAUAAGGGAAAUAAUAUUAAAAGGUACGAGUGGGUGCCACCAAAAUGCAUACAACUCUCACAAAGAGAAAAGGUAAACUAGAUCUGCAAAAUCGGAUGCGUCCAACAUAUAGUGACCCUUAAAAAAAUAUAGAGGGCCUAAACCGAAAAUCCUGGAUAGGAGACAAGGAGGAGAAGGAAUUUCAAAACUGAUUUAGUGUUCUCUCAUUUUGUAAAGAUUGCCAUUUUUUAAAAUGUCGAAUCUGAAUCUGUUAUUAGCAUUGAGUUUUAACUUCUUUAAUUGCAGCGACCACAUUGCACUUCUUAAAGCAUUUGAAGGAUAUAAGGAUGCAAAAUGUAAUGGACGAGAGAGAGCCUUCUGUUGGGAAAACUUUUUAUCCCCAGUAACCUUACAGAUGAUGGAGGAUAUGAGAAACCAGUUUCUGAAUCUUCUAUCAGACAUAGGCUUUGUUGACAAAUCCAAGGGUGCUAGUGUAAGCUCUUACGCUUGUUAAAAUGAGGCUUUCAUUUCUUCCCAUUUCUUUUUCAUUAUCAUCAUUUUGCCAAAGAUGUGCGACUCUGAUCAGACGUGGAUGCAUUCUAAACAGAAGCUAUUUUUGCAUGCAUAUACCAUGAGGCAAAAAUAACCUACUUUCGCAAGUGCCAUAUCAUCUAUAACAGUAUUAUAUCAGCACGCUCUGGUGCACUUGGGAGUUCAAAGCAUGCAUCUCAGGGUUCUCAACUGCCUUGAGUUUCCAGUUCCAGAAUGAGUUCACUACUUUAUUUAUUGCUUUUACGUGAUGUUAAAUAAAUUGCAGGGUUCUUAAACUUGUAUUAUGUGCCUUUGAUGCAGGCCUACAAUCAAUACAGUCAUGAUUUGGAAAUGGUAUGUGCAAUUCUUUGUGCUGGUCUCUAUCCAAAUGUUGUACAAUGCAAACGAAGAGGGAAACGUACAGCAUUCUACACUAAAGAAGUGGGAAAAGUUGAAAUCCAUCCUGCAUCUGUCAAUGCAGGAGUUCAUCUAUUCCCUCUUCCGUACAUGGUUUACAGUGAAAAGGUGAAAACAUCCGGUAUUUACAUCCGAGACUCAACUAAUAUAUCAGAUUACGCUUUGCUUAUGUUUGGUGGCAAUCUUAUUCCUAGCAAGACUGGAGAGGGUAUUGAGAUGCUUGGUGGUUACCUUCAUUUCUCUUCAUCAAAGAGUGUACUGGAAUUGAUCCGGGUAAUGCCUCUUACAAGUUACACUUAUGACAUAAUUAUUUCACUCCAUUUCUUGACUCCAUCUAGAUAAAACAAUUUGAUAAGGUUGGUGAAUGCCCCUUUUUUGUUUCUCAGAAAUUGCGAGGGGAGCUUGAUAGACUUCUAAAUAGGAAGAUAGAGGAACCAAGCUUUGACAUUUCUGUCGAGGGAAAGGGUGUUGUUUCAGCUGUGGUUGAGUUGUUGCAUAGUCAGAAUGUACGGUACUAAAUGUCCCAUUCCUUCAAGAGCUGAUUAUUAGAGAUUCGAUAAGCCUUUAAUCAGGGGAAAAAAAAAGGCUAAAAAUGAUAAAAAGAGAAUUCCUUUUUAUUAUUUGUUAAUCUCUAGAUUAAAAGGAGCGCUUAUGUCCCGGGCUUGGGCUUGGUAUGCUCGGGAAUAAAACUCCAGACCUUGUUGGAGAGGUUUUGUAGAUGUAAUGUUGAAGGCAAUGGUAAUAUUCAAUGUAGACAAAAUUUGAGUCACGGUGUUCUAUUGCUAAUUACAUGUAUAGAUUAUAGACGUUCCUAAAAAGAACUUUGUAUGUAUAGAUUAUAGACCAUUUUCAGGAAAUUUGUACGUAUAGAUUGGAUUCAGCUGGUUUCUGUGGAAGAUAUAAUUGAUGUUUACGCCUUCAGUGCAGUGGCAAUACACACACACACACACACACGUAUAUAUAAAUGAGUUGGUACCGGGUUGCUUGGAUUAGAGGUGGCUGCAUGAAUUCUUAAGGAUGACAGGAGUUUAGUGCCAAGAAGACUGCAACAAGUCUUUACCUUCGUAAAUGGUUUUUUUUUUUUGCCCUCUUUUUUAACACAAAAAUUACGAAAUAUUCAGCUUAACAUGUGUCCGAUAAUUAGAAUUAACUGUACUUACACUUUAAUUUUUAAUUAUAAAUAAUUAAAAAUGUUUAAUUUAUAUUGAAUAUGAAUAGAAGUACCUUAAGUACGCACGAGACACAAUUUUAGAUUCAUUUUUUAGUGAUAACAUAUAUGAUAAUUUAAAUAUAACUUUAUGUAAAUACAAAUUUUACAAAAAUUAAAAAAUAAAUAUAUCAAACUUUAAUGAAAAGUCUGUAUACUAAAUAAAGUGUGGAAAAUCAACGGGUGGUUAAGAACUUAUAAGCGCAUAAUUUUAAAGUGAGUAAUUAGUAAAAAAUUUAUUAGAUAAUAAAUAUAUAUUUUAUAAUUUAAUUAAAAAUUAAAUUUUAUUUUUAUAUUUGAAGAUUUACAUAUGUAAUUAUUACAAUUUUAGUCCUAUUUUAUUAUAUAUAUUAUUAAUUUUAACUAAAUAUUUUUAGAUAAUUAUCAAAUGAGGAUAUAAUUCAUUCUUUAAGAUUAAAUUACAUGUUACUAAUUAACUAAAAUGAAUUCUAUUUAAAGUACCUAUUAUACUAUUAUUUUAUUUUAAAAAUGUUUUAAAUUAUUCGUGUUAAUUUGUAUUAUAAUAUAUUUCACCACUUAAAUAUCAUAAAAAGGAAUUACUCCCCGGAAAAGCUCAACGCUCUUUUCCCUCCCUCUUAAACCUCAGAAUCAAACUUUCAGUUGCAGAGCCAACAUCCCCAAAUCAAUAACCCUAGAAUUCUACUUCAGAAAACGCACACAAAAUCCAUGUUACUUUGAAGAAUUGAGUCUGACUAUCCGUAGGAAGCAUACAUGGGUCGAUCUGAACCUUGCGUUCUGUUCGCUCAGACCUUCGUUCAUCCCCAACUCGACGAGUACGUCGACGAGGUAACUCAGUCGGCCGACGCCAUUUCAUCUUUCUUUUCCCUUUCAAUUUCAUUUAUCUGUAUUUUUGUCUUUUCAUUUAUGUUUUUUAACAUUUUCCCUUUUCUUUUUAGUGUUUGAAGCGCCUUGCAUGAGAAGUCUGAUUGUAACCUUGUCUAAAUAGCUUGCAUAUUGACAAUUUGUUUGUGCUAGUGCAGAGUUUGUAUUUUCCUGCUUUUUAUCUAUUAUUGAAGUUCCUCUUUUGUAGGUAAUAUUUGCUGAACCAGUAAUUAUCACUGCUUGCGAGUUUCUUGAACAGAAUACCGCCUCAGCGUCUCAAGCAGUAUCCCUUGUGGGGUAUGUUUUACUAGAAACCUCUUCCUUUUGCAUGUCAUUAGUUUCAAGCAAAUGAAAAAGUAGACAUUGUUCUUUUAGGAAAUGAUGUUCCUUUCUAUUUUGUUAAUAUGAAAUUCGCCUAUAUUAGAUCUGGGAAUUUGAUUUUUGGAAUCUCAUGGCAUCUGUUGACAAAAUAAAAGUUUGCAUUUAUGUUGGGUCCCCUAAAAUGCGCAUUUUAGAUUGUGUUCCUUGACACCUACUUCCGACAUGUGGCAUUAGAGGUCGAUAUCUAAAUUUUGUUUUUGUUAUGUUUUUAAAUCCCAGAUGUUCUCACAAAAUGUCUUUCAAUCCCACAUAACGCAUAGAUUUUUUUGUGCUUUAACGUGCAACCGUCUAAUGAAUCUUAACCUAUGUUUUCUGAGUAGUGAUUUCAUGGAAUACUGUUAUUUUAUCCAGGGCGACCUCACCUCCUUCAUUUGCUCUAGAAGUGUUUGUUCGAUGUGAAGGGGAAACAAAAUUUAAGCGGCUUUGCCAUCCUUUUCUUUAUUCUCCUUCUGCACCAUAUCCGCUAGAAGUUGAGGUGAUAUGUUCAAAUUUACAUGCUUUCAUUCUUGAUUUGGUUCUUAAUGCUUUUCCUACUUUAUUUUGUUGUUGCUCAAUAUGAAGAAUUUCUUUUUGUUUUUGACGAACUCUUAGAAUUUGUUUAGUGUUGUUUUCAUGGCAGAGUCGAAGGAAACAAGUUUAAGAGUACACUUGAAAAAUCUUGUGUUUGUAAAACCUGAAAAUAUUUUAGGAGUAACAACUUAGAUUACAUCGGAACUGAUAGGAGUGGGGGAUUAUACUAGUGUUGACACUGGGCGAAGAGAACCAUGCUUUAGCAAGAGCAUACUACUAUAGGUGGACUCUAAGGAAAUUCUUAUGCUGUGCCCCUUGUUGCUUAAUUUCUUAUAAGAAAAACUUGCAAGGCACUGAAGGUUGGGAAAGCUUCAUUUUGGCAAGACAUACAUUCAAAUGACAAUCUAAUUUCAUGCAGGCUGUUGUGACUAAUCAUUUGGUUGUUAGAGGCAGCUAUCGAAGUUUAAGCUUGGUCAUAUAUGGAAACAUUGUAAAGGAUCUGGGGCAAUACAACAUCAUACUUGAGGAUCGCUCUGUGACUGAUCUUGUUAGUUCCGCUGAAGGAAAUCUUGAGGACUUGCCAUUGGUAUUACAUUCAAUUAAUCGCACUAUUGAGGAAUGCAUAUCAUCUCUGAACAUAUUAUCAAUACCNNNNNNNNNNNNNNNNNNNNNNNNNNNNNNNNNNNNNNNNNNNNNNNNNNNNNNNNNNNNNNNNNNNNNNNNNNNNNNNNNNNNNNNNNNNNNNNNNNNNNNNNNNNNNNNNNNNNNNNNNNNNNNNNNNNNNNNNNNNNNNNNNNNNNNNNNNNNNNNNNNNNNNNNNNNNNNNNNNNNNNNNNNNNNNNNNNNNNNNNNNNNNNNNNNNNNNNNNNNNNNNNNNNNNNNNNNNNNNNNNNNNNNNNNNNNNNNNNNNNNNNNNNNNNNNNNNNNNNNNNNNNNNNNNNNNNNNNNNNNNNNNNNNNNNNNNNNNNNNNNNNNNNNNNNNNNNNNNNNNNNNNNNNNNNNNNNNNNNNNNNNNNNNNNNNNNNNNNNNNNNNNNNNNNNNNNNNNNNNNNNNNNNNNNNNNNNNNNNNNNNNNNNNNNNNNNNNNNNNNNNNNNNNNNNNNNNNNNNNNNNNNNNNNNNNNNNNNNNNNNNNNNNNNNNNNNNNNNNNNNNNNNNNNNNNNNNNNNNNNNNNNNNNNNNNNNNNNNNNNNNNNNNNNNNNNNNNNNNNNNNNNNNNNNNNNNNNNNNNNNNNNNNNNNNNNNNNNNNNNNNNNNNNNNNNNNNNNNNNNNNNNNNNNNNNNNNNNNNNNNNNNNNNNNNNNNNNNNNNNNNNNNNNNNNNNNNNNNNNNNNNNNNNNNNNNNNNNNNNNNNNNNNNNNNNNNNNNNNNNNNNNNNNNNNNNNNNNNNNNNNNNNNNNNNNNNNNNNNNNNNNNNNNNNNNNNNNNNNNNNNNNNNNNNNNNNNNNNNNNNNNNNNNNNNNNNNNNNNNNNNNNUUUUAAUUUAUGUUUAUUUUUGUGCUUGCCUCAAAUGUAGCAUGUAUCACAAUGGAUGCUAUAAGCUCUUCUUAGAUGUUAUAAUUUAAUAUGGUUAAGGUUCGUCCUCAGCAUUAGAAAGGCAAAUCCAAAGUGUGGAAUACACAAAGCAGCUAUUAGGAUAGUUAAAUUUUAGAAUCCUGUUGCAAGUCAAAUCCUCGUAUAUCUUUCCGUGCUAUUGUUAGUUCCUUACAUGUUAGAUUACAUUUCUUAUAAUUUGUUAUCUCAAGGUUUUCCCCUCCCCUUUCUAGGUCAUUUCAAUUUUGAUUGAAACUUUACAUUCAGUCAAGGAACUGGAGCCAGCCAUUGAGACUACUGGUAUGCUGCUUGCUCUAUGAUUAGGUUUGAAAUACUGAUCUUCUUAUUUGGAUGUUCAUUAUGUAUUUACUUACUUGAAUGAGAUUGCUGGGGUUCAGGAGCUUCACCGCUGAAUCUUGCAAUAUUUCACUCAGCUGCUGAGAUUUUUGAAGUCAUUGUAACUGAUUCAUCUGCAACUUCUCUCUAUUCUUGGAUUGGACAUGCUAUGGAACUUCAUAAAGCUUUACAUUCUUCUUCUCCGGGGUCCAAUAGGAAAGAUGCUCCAGCACGGCUGUUAAAAUGGAUAGAUGCUGGUGUAGCUUAUCAUAAAAACGGGGUUAUUGGUCUUCUACGGUAUGCUGCCCUCUUGGCUUCUGGAGGAGAUGCUAACUUAUCCUCAACGAGCAUUCUUUCUCCAGAUUUGACUGGUGUUGAGAAUGUUGUUGGAGAAACUUUGGGUGUUCCUGACAUUAAUGUUGUGGAGAAUCUUGGAAAAAUUAUAUCUGAAAAGUCUUUUGAUGGUGUUUCACUUCAUGACUCUUCCAUCGCACAGUUGACGACAGCAUUUCGAAUUUUAGCAUUUAUUGCAGAGAACUCAGUAUGUAAUUUUCUGUUUUACAGCUAUAUUUGAUUAGUAGAUCUUCGCUAAUUGUACACAUUUUUGGUGUAGACGGUUGCUGCUGCUUUAUAUGAUGAAGGUGCUAUAACAGUUGUCUAUGCUGUUCUGAUCAAUUGCAGCUUCAUGCUUGAGAGAUCCUCAAACAUUUACGGUGGGUUGUUUGGUAGGCUGCCAGAUAUGCUUAAGAUACCAAUUUAUAGGAAUAACAUGAGGUGCAAUCCACAAGAUUUGUUGCACCUUUAGAUUUUUUUUUUUAAUNNNNNNNNNNNNNNNNNNNNNNNNNNNNNNNNNNNNNNNNNNNNNNNNNNNNNNNNNNNNNNNNNNNNNNNNNNNNNNNNNNNNNNNNNNNNNNNNNNNNNNNNNNNNNNNNNNNNNNNNNNNNNNNNNNNNNNNNNNNNNNNNNNNNNNNNNNNNNNNNNNNNNNNNNNNNNNNNNNNNNNNNNNNNNNNNNNNNNNNNNNNNNNNNNNNNNNNNNNNNNNNNNNNNNNNNNNNNNNNNNNNNNNNNNNNNNNNNNNNNNNNNNNNNNNNNNNNNNNNNNNNNNNNNNNNNNNNNNNNNNNNNNNNNNNNNNNNNNNNNNNNNNNNNNNNNNNNNNNNNNNNNNNNNNNNNNNNNNNNNNNNNNNNNNNNNNNNNNNNNNNNNNNNNNNNNNNNNNNNNNNNNNNNNNNNNNNNNNNNNNNNNNNNNNNNNNNNNNNNNNNNNNNNNNNNNNNNNNNNNNNNNNNNNNNNNNNNNNNNNNNNNNNNNNNNNNNNNNNNNNNNNNNNNNNNNNNNNNNNNNNNNNNNNNNNNNNNNNNNNNNNNNNNNNNNNNNNNNNNNNNNNNNNNNNNNNNNNNNNNNNNNNCAGCUAUUAGGAUAGUUAAUUUUAGAAUCCUGUUGCAAGUCAAAUCCUCGUAUAUCUUUCCGUGCUAUUGUUAGUUCCUUACAUGUUAGAUUACAUUUCUUAUAAUCUGUUAUCUCAAGGUUUUCCCCUCCCCUUUCUAGGUCAUUUCAAUUUUGAUUGAAACUUUACAUUCAGUCAAGGAACUGGAGCCAGCCAUUGAGACUACUGGUAUGCUGCUUGCUCUAUGAUUAGGUUUGAAAUACUGAUCUUCUUAUUUGGAUGUUCAUUAUGUAUUUACUUACUUGAAUGAGAUUGCUGGGGUUCAGGAGCUUCACCGCUGAAUCUUGCAAUAUUUCACUCAGCUGCUGAGAUUUUUGAAGUCAUUGUAACUGAUUCAUCUGCAACUUCUCUCUAUUCUUGGAUUGGACAUGCUAUGGAACUUCAUAAAGCUUUACAUUCUUCUUCUCCGGGGUCCAAUAGGAAAGAUGCUCCAGCACGGCUGUUAAAAUGGAUAGAUGCUGGUGUAGCUUAUCAUAAAAACGGGGUUAUUGGUCUUCUACGGUAUGCUGCCCUCUUGGCUUCUGGAGGAGAUGCUAACUUAUCCUCAACGAGCAUUCUUUCUCCAGAUUUGACUGGUGUUGAGAAUGUUGUUGGAGAAACUUUGGGUGUUCCUGACAUUAAUGUUGUGGAGAAUCUUGGAAAAAUUAUAUCUGAAAAGUCUUUUGAUGGUGUUUCACUUCAUGACUCUUCCAUCGCACAGUUGACGACAGCAUUUCGAAUUUUAGCAUUUAUUGCAGAGAACUCAGUAUGUAAUUUUCUGUUUUACAGCUAUAUUUGAUUAGUAGAUCUUCGCUAAUUGUACACAUUUUUGGUGUAGACGGUUGCUGCUGCUUUAUAUGAUGAAGGUGCUAUAACAGUUGUCUAUGCUGUUCUGAUCAAUUGCAGCUUCAUGCUUGAGAGAUCCUCAAACAUUUACGGUGGGUUGUUUGGUAGGCUGCCAGAUAUGCUUAAGAUACCAAUUUAUAGGAAUAACAUGAGGUGCAAUCCACAAGAUUUGUUGCACCUUUAGAUUUUUUUUUUUAAUUAAAGAAAAUAUAUUAUUAGGAAGAGCAUACAAAUAGAAAAGAAUAAGAUAUCCCCACAUAAAAGAUGGAAAAGAUAAAAGAAUAAGAAGAGGAAAAUGGAGCAAAUUUAGUGCAAGACAGCCUCCCAAUUCCUUUACCUAAUAGACAAAGGCAAACGUUGAAAGAAGCCAUUCACAUUAGUCCACAAAGAGGUCACACAAAGCAUUCUGUUGCAAUCAACAGAUGUAGGAUAGACACGUCGUUUUUGAAAUUUCCGGCACUUUUAUUCCAGCCAAAAAACCCAUUAAGAGCAAAAAGUGCCCCUCUGCAAAGCACUUUAUGCUCUUUACUCUUCACUCAACCCAAGCAGAUAAAACUACCUCAAGAAUAAUUUUUUGCACUGUAAAUACUGAUAUUAAUGAUAAAUAUUCUGGAUGCUACUCCAAGUAGCUAUAAGAAAUUCAGCAGCUUGAAAUAGUUUGCUCAAAUAUAGCUGAUGACUAUGUAGCUUAUUCAAUUGAAUUUCUUGCUGUCUUGACAUUCCUCUCCUUAUCUUUAACACAUGGUUCAUCUUAAGCAGAUUACCUUGUUGAUGAUGAUCAUGAAUGCAGUUCAAUAUCUGAUUUUCUCUUAGAACGUAACCGGGAGCAGAGCUUGGUUGAUUUGUUGGUUCCUUCUCUUGUACUGCUGAUCUCUCUUUUACAGAAAUUACAGGUUUGUUACAUUUCAGAAUCAAGUCUCUUACUCUGGUAGUGCGUGGUUAGUAGUAUUGGAUCUGAUGAAUCUUUCAAAAAACAAAAAAGGAUCAGAUGAAAUUAGUGGAUAUAUAACUAUUUAAGACAUGGAUCCUUCUCUGAAAUAGGAACAACUAAUUAAUUAGCAAAAUGUAUUUUUGAUAAGUUUAUCAACUGAAUACAGCAAGCAUUUUGUGCACACUAAAAGUCUGGAAGGUCUGGGUGGCAUUACUUUUCCAGUUAUGCGGAAUAAGUGGUUGCGUGAUCACUGCUUUUGAUGAGUCAUUUGUCGUGUACAAUGCGUGUGGCUUUUGAUUAAGGAUAUUCUUAAGGCACCUAUUGUGAGAGCUUUGAGAUUUUUGAUGAUUAAGUUUUUUUGUCUUUUUUAUCUUUUGCUAUUAUUUGAAAUAUAUUGAAUCAACACUCUCUCCGCAAGACCUUUGGCUGUCCUUUUUGAGUUUCUUUCUUUUAAAUCUCAAUCUUGCUCUUUUUUUUUUUAUGUAGUAUGUUGCUUGCUUUUCCUAGCUACAAACCUGCAUCCACAAUGAAGCAAAAAAAACAACUAAUGAGUUUCUAAAAUUUACUUGCAAUCUUUAAAAAUAUAUUUAGUAUUCCAAAAGAAUGAUUUUUUCUUUGGAUGCAGUACAAUAUUGAUAUUCCUACAAAGUCAUGAGAAAAUAUUUGAUACAAUAUCUUCAACAACACUUUGCGAACAAUAAGUUGUCAAACGUUGUAGUUGCUUUCUAUAACAAGCUUUUAAUGACAUCAUCUAAAAUUUUACAAAAGCUUUUUCUCUUGUCUUGACCAAAAUAGCCAAAAUUUAUUAUUAAAUUUAGGAUUGAACAUCACAUAACUACUAUUAUAGCAAUACAAUGUCUGAAGCUUAUCAUGCUAAUUAAAUGAUAAGUCAAUAUAUGAAGUCACUUUAACAAUAUUCAGCAUUAAGUUUAUUACUAGCUCAUGACUAAACAGCAGAUAGAGCUUCAGUUCGGAAGUCAUAAGUGUUUAGAAAAAUUAAACAAUAUAGAAAACUAUUUCAAAAAAGUAAUUAUGGUGGGCUGGGGCAAGUGUUGAAGCCGAAUCUGGCUGACAAUGAAAUUUUUUUAGCCACUUUGAUAUGCACUAAAUCAACCACGCCUGAUGGAGCAGUAUGGUCUGAAAUCUGUGGUUUACUGGUGAAAUUUCCAUCGUUACUCGACGCAGUGUGUUUUUGGAUCAGUUAAUUUGCGGCCCAUUGUUGGAGGUCACGCAAGGCGACCAGCUUUGUUCAUAGAAUUUGAUUUGGGCUGGUAUAACAUCAUUUCUUUACUUACUUUUUACAGUAAAGAGUCUUCUCUUUAAUAGUUUGUUGGGUAAUUUGAACUGAGACAGAAGAAUUAAAUUCAAGGAGAGAAGGGUAACAUAUCUCUUUCCUCUUAUUUGGAUAUUUUAAAAAAAUAAAAAGAACUGUAUAUUUGGAACUCAGGUUUCCAAUUUAAGAGUUUGAGAAGUUUUGUUAAAGAUGAAAAAAAGAUAUCUUGUGGCACGAAAGAAAUUUAGAGUCAUUAGUAACAGCUCCUUUCUGCUCUUUCAUGUUUUCUCUAAAUUUCUUCAUUGUUGAGAGAAGAAAAUAGGCCUGAGAAAAAUGGCAGGCUGGAAAUUCUCCUUCUCUUCGCUUCCCUCAGUUAAGUAUCCAGGCAAGUGAAAUUGUUCCCUUUCUAACAAUUUCAGUUCUCCUUGGCACUUAAGUCUAGAAACUAUUAGUACAGCAAGAAUUUGGUGCUUUCUGAAACGUCUCAGGAGAGUUUCUUCCUUAAUAUUGUAAAGAAGCUGUAAUAUCUAUUCUUUUUCCUGCGAGAGUACAAUACUAUACUGAUGUGUUUUUCUGCUGAAAAUUGUAUGCUAAUUCUCUUUGCUUCAAAGACCUGCUUCGUGGGAGCAGAAUCCCCAUAAACAAUUGUCACUUGAAGUUUUUGUUAAACUAUAUUUCAGUUUAUUUUGUAUUGUUUGGUUUCUUUAUCAUUGGGGCUUAGUUGGAAAGAAGUCAUGAAAUUGUCUUGUAUUCAAAUGCUCUAUCAUAUGGCUAAAUUGGAAGUGGGAGGAGCUUAUUGGAAUUUUCUUAUGUUUCUUAUGGUUUUAGAUGCUUUAUUUGAAAAAUAAAGUUGUUCUGUCACCAAUGUCAUAGGAAACUAAGGAGCAGCAUAGAAAUACAAAACUAAUGAAUGCACUCUUACGGUUGCAUCGAGAAGUAAGGUAAUCAAAAUUCUCCCCUCUUUUUAAUAGGAUUGAUCUCAUAAUCUAUUACUGUUGGACUUGGUCGAACUCUUUUAAUUGAAAAAUAUAUUUAAUGUGUUUGCAGCCCGAAGCUUGCUGCUUGUGCAGCAGACUUAUCCUCACCUUAUCCUGAUUCUGCUCUUGGUUUUGGAGCUGUUUGCCAUCUUAUUGUUUCAGCACUUGCUUUCUGGCCGAUAUAUGGGUGGACUCCUAGCCUUUUUCACUCCCUUCUUAUCACUGUUCACGCAACAUCUCUACUGUCUUUAGGCCCAAAGGAGACUUGCAGUUUCCUUUGCCUUCUGGUAUGUGAGUUUCCUAUCAAUUCUCACUGGACUCUUGAUUCUUAUAUUUCUGAAAUAAAUACCCCUGGUUUUUCUAAUAAAAACCUUGUUUGAUGAUUAAUUUCAACAUGUUGAAAGAAGAGGGUUACGAUGUUGGGAUCUUUCUUUGUAAUUGGCAUAUGAAAGAUUGUUUUUUCCAGCACUCUUCUUAAAAAAUAAGAAAUGUUGGGGCCCCUUUGAAUUCCAUCUGACUCGAAUGAUUCUUUUUCUUGCAAGAAUGAUUUAUUUCCUGAAGAAGGUGUAUGGCUUUGGAAGAACAGCAUGCCCUUGCUGAGUGCGCUAAGAACAUUGGCUGUCGGGACAUUACUGGGUCCUCGGAAGGAGAGACAGAUCAAUUGGUAUCUGGAGCCUAGCCAUCUUGACAAGCUGCUUAGCCAGUUGACACCGCAGCUUGAAAAAGUUUCCCAGAUAAUCCAACAUUAUUCUAUAUCUGUAUGUGCUACUUUUCCCAACUCAUUAAUCGUAAUCUUUAGUUUUGUCCAAGAUUUUUUACUUUAAGGAAAUGGUGGGCACGGAAGCUUAUCAACUUGCUAUCCUCUUUUUGUAUAAGAUUGUUAUAUUUUGCAUCUUCUGAUAUUAUAUUUUAAACAGGCACUUGUGGUCAUUCAAGACAUGCUUCGAGUUUUUAUAAUUCGCAUUGCUUGCCAGAAAGUUGAAUAUGCAUCUUUGCUUCUACGCCCAAUGCUGUUAUGGGUCCAAGAUCAUGUGUCUGAUUAUUCUUCAUCAGAAACGGAUACUUAUAAGGUGACUAUUUCCUGGCCUUGUCACAUUCUUGUGCAGAAGAUAUAAGCAGGUGAACUGAAUGUGUGUCUUUCUCUUCCCUUUCAGGUUUAUAGCUUACUGGACUUUCUUGCCAGCUUAUUGGAGCAUCCACGUGCCAAAGUUUGUUAUUACCUCUGCAUACAGAAAUUUUUUUUUUCUUUGCCUGGUUUAUUAAUCACUUAUGAAAUUUCUCUUACUAUAUCAGUUGCUAUUGUUGGAGGAAGGUGUGGUUCAGAUGUUUAUGGGAGUGCUGAAGAGGUGCUUUGAUGUUACUGAUACUAAAGGAAAGCAAAAUACAGAGGAUAGAAAUUCUACUAAAAAUGAGUUUAGUUUGUCUAGUUGGUUUGUCCCAGUGUUCAAGUCAGUAUCACUAUUAUGUAAUUCUCAACCAUCCCUACGGUACCGCCAGAGGCAUGAGUUGUGAGUAGAUAUUUUGUUAUGUUAUUUGUCUUUUGUCCUUCAUGUUGAGAAUUCAAAUGUGGUUAUGCUAAGUUUUAUUAUUAUUAUUUUACUAGGCACAAAUUUGACAACUUGAGUGCUGAAGACUGUUCAUUGAUUUCCCCUUAUCUCCUGAAGUUCUGUCAGGUAAUUGUGUGUUUCAUGUUGUGUUUGAUUAUGUUUGUUAACCAAUGUAUGUAUAGCAUUUACUAGAAGUCAGUAUGUCUGUAGCAUUACAAGGUAUAAAGUGUUAAAAUUCGAAUAUAUGAAGAGGUCAUAGUGAAAGUCUUCAUUCAAAGAAAACAAGGAGGAUUAUCCUUUUUAAUUGCUUAAUGGAGAAUAACGGAGAAUUGCAUUUUAUUUUACAGGUGCUACCGGUUGGAAAGGAGUUACUCUCUUGUCUUACAGCUUUAAAAGGACUCGUUUCCUUCAAUGAAGGGAAAAAUGCUUUAGUGUCUGUUCUGGUUCAUCUGCAGUCUAGCACUGAUCGUCACGAACCAGAGAGACAUCAUGAAAGCAAUAGGAAUUCAGAUCUUCUUAAUGAAUUUGAAUUGAAGAACUACCCCCCUUUGCUUUGUUGCUGGAGGAAGUUGUUAAAAUCAGUUGAAUCAAAUAAUGAAUUGUCAAGCUAUGCAAUUGAAGCUGUACAUACCUUGUGUUUAGGUUCCUUGAACUUUUGCCUGGAUGGUAAAAGGUGAGUUCACCACGUCCAUUGGUGUGUGCUCUAACAUUUCUGUGCUAUCUCAUGUGCGGAUAGAUAAGGUUCAUGGUUGCUGCUUGUUAUAAUUAUUUUCAAUGAUCUUGGGGAAUUAUGCUGAUUGCUUUUGAGCAUCUUGAUGGUGUUGCAAAAUGUUUCUAAUAAUAUCAUAGUUAUGGGCAUAGACAUAGUUUGGUUAGAUGAUUAGUUGGUGGACAUACUACAGAGCUAGACCGAGCUGAAGCUGGUAAGGUUGCAAAAUAGCUUUUGAUUUUUUCCAAAUGGGAGGACUGGGUUUAUUUUUAGGUCUUUUUAUUUUCUACGCUCCCCUUCCCUUUUAAUUGAUAUUGAUUGAGGCAAAAGUUUUAGUCACAGUCUAUCAGAAUGGUGCUUUUCAUUUGUCAAUUUCUUUAGACAACUGACAACUGGUUAACAUAUAGUUUGCUUGUUCACCAGUUUGGACCUGAACAGGAUCUCCACAUUGAAAUAUCUUUUUGGUCUUCCUAAUGAUAUAGAUGGGACAGACGCCUUUCCUGAAGAAAGAAUAAAUUGCAUACAAGAAUUGAUUCCUUUGUUGAGUGCAAAGAUCAGUUAUGAUGACUAUUCAGCUAAUUCUUAUAUGAAUACCACUUUGCACCAGGUAAAACUAUUGAGAAUUAUUUGUUCUUUGUUGUUUGUGUUUGUUCGUAUGUUGGGUUUUAUUUUCUUUUUGUGGACUGUUUCUGGAAGCUGACAUUUUGUUGAUGCAUAGGCUUUAGAGCUAGCGAAGUCAUUACUUUUGUUGCUGGAAAAGCCUACUGAUGCAAAUAAGGUGGAUGAUAUUGUUUCCACUGAAAAAUUUUUGACCACUCCAAAGAUUCUUUCAACGGCCCAUGUCUCUGCUGAGCAUGCUAACAGUGAUCUUUAUCUAGGAGUACUGGAGGUAAGUUUUGUUGGGAAUGUCCAGAAACAUUACCUGAGAGAUUAUCACAGACAACUCUUCCUAUAAAAAGAAAAAUGCCGCCAGCGGAAGGCUCAAACCGACGGGGUAGAGGAGACAACUCGCCGGCAGAGAUCUCAACCCAGAAUUCAAUUUCACGGGGUUUAGGUCCAUCUACCACCCCAUCUGGUCCUACUCGUAGGGAUACGUUUCGGCAAAGGAAGCCUAAUACCAGCAGGCCCCCAUCUAUGCAUGUGGAUGACUAUGUUGCAAGAGAGAGGAGUGCUGAUGGUGGUGUUGCUUCUAAUGCCAUAACGGUUCCACGUGUAGGGUCGACUAGCGGGAGACCUCCAUCAAUUCAUGUUGAUGAAUUUAUGGCCAGGCAAAGGGAGCGGCAGAGUUCUUCUGCAAUGGUAGUUGGGGAGGUAGCAGCACUGUUGAAGGAUGCAACUCCUGCAAAUGAUAGAGAUAUGGAAAAGGUCAGCAAAUCUAAGCAGUUGAAAACAGAUCUCGAUGAUGAUCUUCAGGGAAUUGACAUAGUAUUUGAUGGCGAGGAGUCUGAAUCUGAUGACAAGCUACCUUUUCCUCAGCCAGAUGAUAAUUUGCAGCAGCCUGCUCCUCUCAUGGCUGAACAAAAUUCUCCUCAUUCAAUUGUUGAAGAGACAGAGAGUGACAUUAAUGAAAGUGGACAAUUUUCUCAUAUAGGUACGCCCUCGGCAUCUAAUGUUGACGAAAACACCCAGAGUGAGUUUUCUUCAAGAAUGUCAAUCUCACGCCCUGACAUGCUAUUGACUCGAGAGCCAAGCGUUUCUUCAGAUAAGAACUAUUUUGAGCAAUCUGAAGAUUUCAAGAAAGUUGUGCCUGUUAAGAACUCAAGUGGGCCUGAUUCUGCUCUCACAGCAAACAGUACUGGGUUUUCUACUCCCAUUUACAGUAAUGUACCAGCAUCAUCAAUACAAGUGCCUGGUGAUUCUAGGGGAAUUCCACAAAAUUACUUUCCAAAAAAUAGUCCGCAACAUACUGGGAAUGGUCAUGUUGUUCUCAGUUCUCGGAGAAUUUAUGACCAGAAAGCUCUUCCUAAUCAACCUCCAUUACCUCCAAUGCCGCCUCCAUCAUCGAUUUCACCCAUAAUUUCUCACACUCCAGAGUCUAUUGCCAAUCAGUCGUCUGCAUUUCCUAAUCCAGGAACAGACAUGCAGGUGUCUGUUCCAGCAGCUUUCCAAGUAAUAGAAGAUAAUCCUUUACUUACAGUAUAUUAGUUGCAAGGCGGGUUUUUUUCUGCAAGUUAACUAUGCAAUUUUUCUAAUUGCUCGAACUUGCUUUUUUGCAGGUCCAUUCUGAUUAUCCUUCUGCAUUCAAUAAUAGUCCUAGUUUACUACCGUCUUCCCUUCCUAUGCCAGACCCCAAGUUUCCAAGGCCCUCUAUCUCUUCUCCUGGUGGAUCUAUAUGGCCUCCUCCACCGCUUCCCUCAACACCACCUCCAUUCUCGUCUAGUGCAUAUAAUUUAGUACAGUCAAGAGCUUGUAGCUCCCAAUCUUUAGCAUACAAUCAAACUAGUGCAGGAACAGGCGAGCUUCCCCAAAGCUCUACCGUGCCAAUUGAUUCUCAAUUAGGUAAUCUUUCUGGAUCAGGUGCUGGGAUGACUUCUUGUCCACCGCCUCCCCUUAUGCCAUCAUUGGUUUUCAAUCGGCCGGCUUCCAUGCCUGUGCCCUUCUUUGGAAGCACUCAAUCUCAGCAGCAGGGCGAGCACCCACCUAAUAUUUUGCAGAAUCUCUCAAUACCUCCAUCAUCCCUUCAACAAAUACAUUCCCAAUCACACUUGCAAUCCAUGCAGCUUCCACAGCUUCAAAGACCUCUGCAGCCACCUCAGCAUAUUAGGCCACCCAUAAAAACGUCUCAACCAAUAGACCAAGGGAUUUCCCUACAAAACCAUGUACAAAUGCAAAUUCAUCCAUUGCAAAUGCUGCAACCACCACAAGUUUCCUCAAUUCAAACUUAUUACCAAUCCCAGCAGCAGGAAUUCUCGCAGGCACCGCAACAGCUGCAGGUUGAACCUGCUCAUCCACAAGUUCCACAACAGCAAGGGGGUGGAAUAUCCCAGCUACAACAGGAUUCAGGAAUGUCAUUACAUGAGUUCUUCAAGUCUCCAGAAGCUAUUCAGGUUUGUGAUGUACAAGUAUCAAAAUUUUUUGGACAUCCAUUUGGCCAAUAUUUGCCUUAAUUCAUUCUAAAUUUUUUUUACUAUCCUGCUGCAUUUGUGGCAGUCAUUACUGAGCGAUCGAGAUAAACUAUGCCAGCUUUUGGAGCAGCAUCCAAAAUUAAUGCAGAUGCUUCACGUUACCAGUUCACUCUUAAUACUCCUAUCAGAAGUUUUGAGAUUCUUUUAAGGCAUUAUUAGGAAUGCUUAUACUAUAUACUGUAGACACUGAACCUAGCGUUCUUUACCUGCUAAUGCUGUUUUUAUUCUGUUUCAUCACUCUACCUCUAGUUCAGAAGAAUCUUUUACGAUUUGAAUCACAAACAAAUGCAACAUCCUUGGCCAUGCUGAAGAGUGAUUACUGCCCUGUUUGGCUGUGAUCUGUCUGGCGUAGACAUAAUUUUUUCCUUUUGAUUUUUAUAUUUAGACAGAUGGUGUUAUCAUCUUAUACAACGACUAUCUAGUUAAACAUGUUUAGUCUAAAAUUUGGUUCUUUGUUUUGUCUGAACAGGAAAGGUUGGGCCAGCUAUAGCAAGAUGUUUGGAACUUACAACUGUAAAUCUACCGUGGGAACUGCUUUCAACAUCUGGGCUUUGCUCAUGUAAUUUGUUGUAGAACAUGGAACAUUCAUUAUUGGGGAAAACCUUCCUCGCUCCAGUCAGUUUUCAUCCGGUUCUAUCUCCACUAAAUUUUGUAUAAAUAUGUACAUUCACCUGCUGUAUUAUUUAUGGUAGGGCGUCAGAUGGUUCUGAAGUUGCUCGCAAUACAGAAAAUUUCUAACCCCUUGUAGCAUCUAGUAGUUGAAAUAAUACCUUGCGGCUAGAUUUGGAUUUUCAGCCGAUGGUAUGUUGUCCUAAGUUAGGAUGUAGACACAUGUUCUACUAUCUCUCGUCGUGGGAGCGUGAGCCGCAAGAUUAUAACUUUCGAAAGUAAGAAGUUGCGGAUCUAAUCAGAAGACUAACCCAAAAAAAAUUGUGUGCUUUUCAAUUUAAGAAAAAGAAUCUGUCUUCACACGUUGCUUGAAUUCUAGUAUCUUGGUGAGACUGGUAGCAGAGUUUUUCAAGUUUAGACUAUACUGUAUUUAGGUCUAUUAUAAAUUUUCACAAGGUUGAAGAAGGAAUAAAAGAAUUUGACCAAAAUUAAGAAAAAAAGUUUUGAAAUUUUUGAUUAAUCCAAAUUGUUCUUUCAACUUUAAGUAAAAAAUUCAAGAGAAGUUAGAUUGUAAUUAUUUUAAAAUAAUGAAUUUAAUUGUAUAAUUAAAAACUUAAAAUUCAUAGAUAUUCCUUUUAGUUUACUCUCAAAUUAUAAAAACUCCGACAACAUGGGUGGAGAGAAAUAAUGAUUCUUUGUGACCAUCAUCUCAGUUCUGUAUAAAAAGAUAUCCCAAGUCAAGGAGAGCUUUUAAGGGCACGUUUGGUCGCCCCCUUUAAAGGCAUGCAAUCUCGUGGAUUUUUUGUUUUUUCAUUCUGAGAUUUUUUUCUCUUUCUGCCGGAGCUAGCUUACGCAAUCAGAUGGUAAUUGACAUGAAACAAACGUUACCUAACAUUCUUUGGCAUUUGCAGCAGAAUCUCCAAAAAUUUCAUGAUCCAAGAAGCUCAUGAUCCCAGAGAUCUCCACCUCCCAUAACAUUUUAUUAUUCGUGAUCGCCCUGAUCGUGUAGACAUUCCCUUACCACUUCACACUUGCUAAACCCAUUUUAAAAAGCUUCUUUAUUUAUACGUCUGAUAAUAUAUAUAUAGAUUUUCCUCAUCUAUCAUCUCUUCUUCUCUGUCUGCUCCUGGAAGAAACCUGGUUGACCCGCACGAGGCAUUUGCUUCCUACCCCUUCCUCUUCUAGCCAAUCUGAACUUGCCACGUCAACCCCAACACCGACACUCCCUAUCAGCCUCCGGGCCUGCCUGCUUUCCUCCCACCCACGUACUUCUCAUCGUCCUUGACGCCAUUGCACUUGCCUUUCCACACACUCAUCUACGCAUUUCCAAUACAUCUCUUAUAUACACACACACACCCUCUUUCAUUUUUUCCUCUUAUUAACUGAUGAUUGACGUUGUGAUGAUCAGACCUUUGAGUUUCCGUCAUGAGUGAUGGAUAGAGCUGGGUGGAUUCAUCAUGAUCAUCACCGUCAUCAUCACAUCUCACCCAGCUGUCCUCGCUGUGGAUCUUCCAACACCAAGUUCUGCUACUACAACAACUACAGCUUAACUCAGCCAAGGUACUUCUGCAAGGGCUGUAGAAGGUACUGGACUAAGGGUGGGUCUCUGAGGAAUGUUCCUGUUGGUGGUGGUUGCCGCAAGAGCAGGAGAGCAAAAUCUUCUUCUAGGCUUUCAAACUCUGAUCAUGGCGUCUUGAUCAUCUCCAAGAACAGUGGUAGUAAUACUACUUCUACCCAUCUGGGUUACAGGGGUAAUGACAAUGACCCAGUUCAAAAAAUGGAUUCUUUAGCUGAUUCCAGUUCGGUUAUGGCGGAUGGGUCACAUAUUGAUCUUGCCCUUGUUUAUGCCAACUUCUUGAAUCAACGGCCGCCGGAGCCGGCGGCGGAUUCUAAGUCUGGAAUGAUCGAGGUGGCGGAAUUGCCAGCUAGUGAGUUUGGUAUUCCGAGUUCUCUAGGGUUUCCAUAUGUGGACGCGAGUAGUUCUGGAUUGAACCAAGAAAAUAGAGUUCUUGAACGUCUGAAUUACUCUGAUUUAUCUGCCGACCCUAUGGUCUGUUCAUCUGGAUUCGACCCGGUUCAGAACCAUGAGUGUAGCAGCCAUGAGAGAUCUAGACAUGAUUAUGGGUUGCCGCCAUUGCCAGGUGAAGGUGCAGCAGCUUCAUGGCCAAACUCCUCUCAUGUGAUAAUGGAGAAUGAUCAUGGGAUCCAAUUAGCAGGACAAGACCCGGUGCUGGGACCCGAUCAAGGACAGGACCCGAAUCUGUUGUUUGGUAAUUGGAGCUCAUUUGAUUUGUCUAUUGAUUAUGCCUUCUCCAGAAGUUUGUGAUUUAAUUGCUUUAUUUUCCUUGUAUCUUUUUUUUGUCCUUUUUAAUUUCUUUUAUAUAUAUAGCAAUGUAUAGAAUCACAAUAUGUUCCUAUCAAAUAAUAUAUAUAUAUAUAUAUAUGAAUAUCUCUCAAAGAGGUAUAUCACUACAUGAUAAAUUACAACAAUGCAUGAUUAUAUACGAUAUACAUAUAUAUUACUUUAUAUAUAAAAUCAAGAGUUUCGUUCAACUCGAUUUGCUUAUUUUGCAGUUCUUGUCCGUGAAGCUUAAUGUAUAUCAUCUUUAUAGACGAAUAUAUAUACUGAACUAUAUAUAUGUAUAAAGUGGCGAUUCAAGCAUUUCUGGCUAAGCAUCUCUGCUAAUAAAUCUUGCUUUUACAAGCAAUGAUGAGAUUCUAAGAUACUUACACGUACAUAUAUAUUCGUCUAUAUAUAUCAUCAUUUCAGGAAGAGGAAGUAUCGGAAAAGAAUAUUUGUUUCAUUUGCUAUCAUCUAAUAUAUAGAGCGCUUUUUUUUUUCCUUUCGGAAAACAAAAUAUACAGAAAAACACACGCCUAUACAUAUAGCUUAAACUCAGUCGUCCCAACGAGCAUGCAUGCAUCCCAUCCAUCAACGUAAUGUAUACAUACUCCCUGCAACAUUGUGUGCAUGAAUACAUAAACAUGUGUACAUACACACGCACAUUCGAGUAUAUCAGAGUUGACAGAUGAAUAUAUAUAUAUAUAUAUGUAUAUAUACACACACGAACACACACAAUUUGAAAAAUAAAGUUGAAAGACAAAUCAGAAGAACUGGUGUUACCGCAAUUGCUGUUAACAAUGCAUCUGAAUUUUGACGCAUGAGCUUUUUAUCUUAUUAAUUUGUAAAUGAUUAUUUACAAAUUGUAUAACCUUAUAUAUAUAUAUAUAUAUAUAUAUAUAUGUUGGAACUCAAGAACAAUAAAAUAAGAAUAAAUUCAUACGAGAUAAGACGAAUUAGAUAUUAAUAUAAAUUUUUUUAUAUGAAUUUUUAAUUAAUUAUAUAAUUUUUAAAAUAAACAAAUUACAAAAAAAUAAUAAUAAUCACGAACUCCUUAUAAGAUUAAAUUUAACAUUUAUCGCUAUUUUAUGUGAUAUCAAUAAUUUUUAUAAUUGAGAUUCAUCUUUUACUUUUUUAAAAUAAUAAAUAAAAUUUUUAUAAUUAAAAUUCAUCUGUUACCAUUUUUUUAAUUAAUAGAAAAUUCAAAUUAAUUAAUAAUUCUAAUUAAAAAUUUUAUUUUGACCUAAUAAUAAUAAUAAUAUACAAUUUUUUGUGGGUAAAAAAAUUUAAAAAAAAUAAUUAAGAAAAUUCGGUUCUUGAAAAUAGUGUUUUAAAUAUAAUACUGUGGGUGUCAGGUGAAGUUAGCUACUUUUAUUAAUUACGUCGGACUUGGCGCACCACAUGAUCGUGUAAACGCCCAUGAUCCAAGAAAUUAGACUAUUCUAAUUAAUUAAUUAAUUAAGUCAACAAGUUUGACCAAAUAUACCCUUUGAAAAUUCAUAAUUAAUUAGCAAUAAUUAAUACACAAAGUAACUGUAAUCUAACAUUCGCACGCACGAAGCUCCUCUGCAUAAUUAAGUAAUUACUUCUGUCAUUAGUUAAAUGGAUCGACGGAGAUAGAGCAGUCGGCCGUUUAGCUCGUUGUGUGGGCCCCAUGAAAAAUUUGACCAACCAGCGUAAGUCACGUGGCAAGUAGGGAAAUUGGGACAUUUGACAAAGACGACGCCGUAUGGCCGUCGGUUUUAAACGAUACAUUAGAAGAUGGUCGUGAUCGGGCGGCGAGAUAUACGGGCGGGACGGCCUCAUACCACGUGCUGCGAAAUAAAAAACUUUGUAUUUAAAUUUAUAAUAAAUAUUAUUUCAACUCGUACAGAAUAAAACUUUAUGGAUUAAUAAUAAAAAAUAUACAUGUAUAUAAUUAUAAUGAACUUAUAUUAUUUAUAUUCAAUAAAUACAUAAUUUUUAUUAUUUUUACUGAAAUUUUUUUUAUAUAAUUUAGAUCUAUUUCAAAAAUUUGAAAAUAAAUAUAUUUACUAUAUAUUUCAAUAAGUUUUUUUAAAAAAAAAAGUACACGUAUAAAAACUAGCUUUACGUACAAACAAGAAGACACUAAUUUAUUUAAAAAUCAUAAAUUUAAUGCCGACGGCAAGGUAAUAAAUUUUUAUUAGACAAAAUUAAAAGUUAAUUAGCAUUAAAUAUUAAAUAUUUGUCAACGAAUACCGCAGUUCAUAAAAAAGCCCAACUCGUGAUUGAUGCUGGAGUUAGCUUCUCUCGGCCGUCGUUUCACACUUAUCCAUCCACCGUUUUUGUCAUACAUUAAUGCAUAUCCUUUUUAUGUUUUCUGACCCUAUUAAAUGAUUUUACUCCUUUUACAUACAUAUAUAUAUAUAUAACAAAAUAAUUUUAAAUUUAAUAAUAAAAAAUUAAUGACUCGAUUUGCAUAUAUAAUGAUAUAGUUCUACAGCUUAUACACUCAUAUAUAUAUAUAUAUAGAUUAUACUGAUUUCUCAAUCAAGCUAUAAGUAUUUUAAAAAUAACACAUCAUAUUGACUUGAUAUAUGUUUAUAAUAUAGUCUGGCUAUUUUCCUUAUUAUAUUAAAAUUAUUAUUCUAGAAAAUUAUUAACUUGCUAAGUCUUUAAUUAUUUUUAAAAGAAAAUAAAAAAUUUUAACGAUUUCAUCAUUCAAACAUAUAUAAAUUCUCGGGUCCACGUCUUAUGAAAUAAUAUAUGCUCGUCAUAAAUAUUAAAAAUUUAUAUAUAUCUUAUAAUAAUAGCUUCAUUCAUAUCUUAUUUUCAAUUAAAAAUUCAUAUAUAAAAAUAAGUACACAUCACAAUCUUUUAAUAAUAAUUUUAAAAAAACGUAAAAUCUAGAAUUAAAAAACAAAAAUGCCUACCAUUCAACAAAAAAAUACUUAUAAAUUUUUUUUUCUUAAUUAUUGCUAUAAAAAAAAAUCAAAGUGUGUGUAAAACGAAAGUAUAAUAUUUUGAAAGAAAUAAGGAUCUACAUUUAACAACUACUUAAAUUUUUUCAAUAAUUCAUACAUGUAAGUAAAUACAUAUAUAUGUAUAUAUUAUUUCAAUAUCUAUAAAAUUUUAUUAUAUUACUUAACUUAAUUGAAUGGUUGGUAUUUCAAAUUUUUCUUUAAAAAAUUAUAAAUUAAAGUCAAAUUUUAUACUUUUAUAUAUUUUUAUUUAAAAGUUAUAAUUUUAUUGUAUUAUGAUCGAUGUUUAUAUAUAUAUCAAUAAUUUUACAUAAAAAAAGAUAUAUCAUUCCAUUUCUGAUAGAUGGAUAAAAUUUUUAUCGUAUUGAAUUGUUAAAUUCUCGAUUUUCCUAAAAAGAAAGAUGAUGAUUGGUGGAUUUUCCCCAACCUAUGCAAUAUUUGUAUACUCCUAUGUAACUCAAACUUUUGUCUUUGCAACAAUAUCUCUAGAAGAAUCUAAUUAUAUACACAAACAGUUGAAAAAGAUAUUUGAUUUACCACCAAAAAUCAAACAAAAAGGUUAACUCGAUCAGAUCAUCUUCUCCAUCUUCAUUAAGCUGGAUAGGACAAAACCAUAUUGGGUGGUAAACAUGGAGAAUUCUUCCAUGUCCGAGCAUGCAACUUAAGCAUGUCUCUAGCUCUUUCCUUCGCCUUAAUUCCACAAUCCACUUGCACCAUCAAGCACAGCUUCGCCACCACCCCCAGCUGCAACAUCUCUUGGAGCACCGCCGGCGUCGCGCACAACUUUGAAAUCGAAAGUAAAAUCUUCAGUGCCCGCUCGCUCGCCACCUGCGAGACUCUCAGUAUUUUCUUUGCUACAAUGGCGAGAGCCGCGCCGUGUUUUAGAAACUCCGCUCUUCCUUCUGCACACCCGCAUAAGAUAUCUAACACCAUGAGUAUCAUCUCGCAAGGUCUUCGCUCAGGUGAGUCGAGAAGGAGCUCGAUCAAGACUGGUACUGCUCCAGCUUCCACUGCCUUGAUCCUGUUUCGUCCCCAUGGACAGAUGUUAAUUAAAAGUUGCAGUGUGGCCUUUGUGGCCUGGGGCGAGAUCUGAUCGUUUAAAACUUGGACUGUUUCGAUGAAGAUUUCGGGUUUUAACGUGAUGAGCUGAAGCGGGUCGGCGAGUUCGAGGAUUGAUUUCAAUAAUAGCACUGAGUAAGCCCGGGAUUCAUAGCUUCCUCGUUGCAUGAUUCGAGUUAAAGACGCUGUGAACUUAUCGUCCUUCCCUAACGAACUCUUGAGUUCUGACUCGGAGAUUUGGAGAUUGUAGAGUAAACUCAGGGCCUCGUCGAUCACACGGGCUGAUUCAAACUCGUCAUGAUCAUGAUCAUCUACAGAUUCUUCAUAAGAACUCACGAGUGAGGCGAGGAAAUCAACAGCUCCGGCAGAUUCAAUGCAACGUUUGUUGGUGACAUUCUCAGCAGCAAUUUCACGUAGCUUUCUCAGACACUUUAUCUGCUGUGUCUGCGACUUGGCGCCGGCGAUGAGCUUGGCGAUCUGAGCUUUGUUGAUCGGGGGCUUGGGCGUGGGAAUCCUUUCGAUGCCGUGCGCGGCGUUGAGCGUGCACCAUGACUGGAUCAGCCGACGGAGAGUGUGGUUUGGUGUUAGGUCAAAUUUAUCGUGGAGGAUUUGUUUCGUCACCGGACACGACGUCGUUUUCUUGCCGGAAAACAACCAUUUCUCGAUGCUCUCUCGGUCGUACGUUAUCCCCGUCGGAAUCGUCACUGGAUCCUUCAUGAUCUCCAGCGAGAUUGGGCAGAUGAAGAACGGAGGAACAUCAAUAUCUUGAUCCAUAAUAAUUUCAGAAGAAGAAAUUGAAGAGAGACACAGAUGAGAAAUCCACAAAAGAGACAAGACCCAGAAAUCUGAAAUCUGAGAAUCCAAACAAGUUUUACAGUUGAUCGAAAAAGAAGAUUAGCUAAGCGAAUCUUAUAGGAGGUAGUUAUGAACAGGUUUGAUUUUUGAGGAGCAGAAGAGAGAUGUGGUGUUAUAUAUAUAUAUAUAUGGAUUAAUAUUGAACAAGGAUACUCGCAAUUAUUAAAUAUUCAAAUUUCGGAAAGUCAAAACACGCAGAAUACAACGAAGAGUAUAGCAUGAUUUAUUAGGAGACAGCCAAGAGAGGGGGAGGGGGGGGUGUACGACUUUUCUAAGCCAUUUUUUUUUUUUUCUCGAGAAAAUUGAAUGGCUCCGGAGCGGCUAAAUUUACCGGGUCACGGAUCGACGGUGGUGGCUGCAAAUUGCACCCAUCCACGUUCAUCGUACUUAAUGUGCAAUUAAUUUUCUUCUUUUAGAAAAAAAAAAACAACUCUUUUGACAUUUUUAUUUUAAUCCAAUUAUUUUAUUCUUCAAAUAUUUUAAUAUUUUUAUUGGGUGAAUUUUUAUAGUUUUGACAUAAAUUUCAAUUAAAUUAAUAAAUAAUUGUUCUUAAUUAAGGACUUUUUAUUAUUUAUUUAAUGAGAAAGCUAUUUCUACAGAAUCAUUUAAUUAAUUUAUAAAUAAAACACAAAAAGCUAAAUUAAUUUAAAUUAACUAUUUAAAAGAUGACCCUUUUUAAUCUUCAUUAACACCGUAUAAUUUUAUUAUUUUCAUCACAUUAUAUAAAUUUAUUGCUUUUUAAUAACACUAACAAUUUUUUUUUUAUAGAAAAUGUGGGGAUUCAAGAUUACACAAAUAAAAAAAAAUUACCGUGUAAUAUUUUUAUAAUAUAAAGAUAAAAAAAAAACACAAAAUUUAAUUUGAUAUAACAAAUAAAACUAUAUAAUAAUGUAUAUAUCUAUAUAUAUAUACACGUACUAAAAUCUAACACUAUUUUAUCCGAUAAACAAAAAAAAAAAAACACAUGCGGUAAUCUUUGUCCUUUGACUUUCUCUCUCUACCAAUUUUGACAAAAAUAAUAAUAAUUUUGUCUGCGAAUUUUCUCUCUCUACCUCGUGCUUGAAUUAUUUUUCUCUGUGUGUGUGUUUUGUGUGUUGUGCGUUGACGCCGACAAAUGCUAUAUGACUGGAAAUGUGGGACCCACGCGACAAUUUUUUAAAAAGCCGCAUUUUCUUCGCUGCUGCUUUUUUACCUUCCUUCCUUCCUUCCUUCCUUCACUCCUCUGGUUUUACUUACUAUCUACUCUGCCUUCAUAUUUUGACCCAUUUACAUACAUACAUACAUAUAUAUAUAUAUAUAUAUACAUACUUUUUAUUUUUCUUUUUAUUAAUUUAUUUUGGUUUUAUCUGACCCAAUGUCUUGAUACAUGGAAUUUUUCAAUACAAAAAAAAAAAAAAAAAAAAAACUAAUAUUGAAGAAAUUUAAGGUACGAAGGUUGAAUCUCAAAGUUGUUUUGGUCCAAUAUUUUUGACCCAUCAAACAUAAACUUUCAAAUUUGAGAAAGGUUCAUUCAAAUAUUUGUUUUUUGGAUCGAUUCUAUUAAAACUUUAAAAGAUAAAUAAUGUUGAAUUCAGAGAAGACGAGUAAAAAAAUAAAUAUUGAUUUGAAUUUUUUAAUUUGAAUUUUUCAGUAAAGUAAACCGUUUUUAAAUACAUAAAUUACGGUAAAAAAAAUAAUCGUGAAUUUUUUAUAAAUUAGGUUCAAUAUUUAUCAUAUAUUUUUUUUUACAUAAUAGAUAAAAUCUUUAUAAAUUUAACACUUAAAUCUCUAUUAGUGAAAUUUAAGAUUUACUAAUUCUAUUAUAAUAAUAUUUUAAAAUAUAUAAUAUAAUGAUGUAAAACUAACACCUUGCCAUCCUCACCUUAUUAAAUAAUUCCACAAUCUGAAGUCACGUAAACAUUGAUUAGCCAUAACAUAAACAUAUGAAUCCAAAGACGAGUUAGAUAAAGCAUUCAAAAUAAGUAUAUUUUCUCACGAGCUUAGGGAUUUAGAGAUGAAGGUCAGUGGUGCAGUUUUUUUUUUACCUGUUUAUGAAUACGAAACGAACGUAAGCUCUAUUUUCUAUUCUCUUUUAGUAAAUAAAUGGAGAGAGUUAAGAGGAUCCGGAUUCAAUUAUUUAUUUAUUUUUUUGGUUUAAAAAUUGGCACUAGUGAUUAAUUAAAUCGAUAAAUUAUUAUAAUAAUUUUUUAAUUGAGUUUAUCAAAUGUAUGGUAAGACAAAGUGUAAGUAUAAAAUUUACAUCGUGGUUGACCUUAUCGCCUUUGGAUUUAUAAUAACUUUGAUUAAGUCAUGCAAUAAGCAAAUUUUGCAAAUUACGGCUAAACCAAUUCCAAAGUUUUAAUUUGUCAAAGCUAAAAUAGGUAACUAAUACACGAUAUAGUUAAUAUUUUCCUUAAUUAUGAUUAGGUUCUAAUUAAUUAAUGAAUUUUAAUUAAAAAAAAAAAAACAGUUUGAGUGGGUGUUUACUAAUUCAAAAUAAAAUUAUAAAGAAAUUUAGCAAACAGUUUAUCAUGAUUGACAUGUCUUUCAUGCAUGUCACGGUGUUGAUUACACAUUAUAAUCUUAUCUCAAUGCUCAUUAUCUCUCCCAUGCUUAUCCAAAAUAUCCCUUCAUCAUGCAUCAUACAUCAUACAUCAUACAUCAUACAUCAUGACACAGUCAAUAUACAUAUACCAAUAUUUAAAAAUUUUAUAACAUCCCUCCAGAUUUUUACAAUACUUUUAUUCUAAUAUUUUUUAAAUAUAUAUAUAUAUAUUUGUUAUGUAUGUAUGCAAUUACGCCAGUAACUUGAAAAGCCGCCAUGCUAAUCCAUAACAUAUAUAUCCAUACAACACGUCAUAUUAUAAAGCUUAUAGUGAAGUAAAUGCACGUGCUUUUAAUAGUCAAUUUUAAUUUAUUAAAUUAACUUUUUUAAAACUAAAUAAAAAUAGAAUUUAAAUUUGAGUAAUUGAAAUUCACUAAAUAAAAAUAAAAUUAUUUAAGCUACAUUAUACAUAUAUAUAUAUAUAUAAAGCUUUCAAUUUUUUAUAUAUAAAAUUUAAAUUUAAAAUUUAAAGGUUUUUAAUAAUUAUGGAAUUAUAGUUGAGAGCUGUACCAAAAAAUUGAGAGGAAUAAUAAAUUAUUGUAGACUCUGAAUUUUCAAAAAGAGAAAAAAGAAAAUAUAUGAAUUAUACAUAUAUAUAUAUAUAUAUAAAAGAGAACCUCGCUGUUAGUUUUUGCCCAUCUUUAUAAUUCAGUCAAAGAAUCAAAGUCAACGGUCCAAGAAAAAAAAAAGUCAAAGUAAACGGUUCUCUCUUUGUCUACUAUUAUUGGCCGUAGUGCGUACUUAGGUGCACAGGUGCAAUAUUUCACUUUCUACACUCAAACUCAAUAAAGAAAAUUAGAAAAAAAAAAAAAAGAAGUUCAUGGAAUUAAAUCACUAUUUAAUUUAACUUAUCUUAUAAGUAAUUAUAUAUAGCCAAAUUAAAUAAAUUAUUAAUUUAAUAUAUGGGUUAUGAUUCACUUAAAUAUUUUCAUAAUAAUUAAAGUUACGUUAUAAUUAUGAAGUUGAAAGUUAGAAGCCAUGUUAUAAUUAUUACAAAAUAGAUAAUUUAUGAACUUAUGUUGGGUAAAAGUGUUAGUAAUUAAAAACAAUUAAUCGUUUAAGUAUUUGCCACGUGGUACAAUUAAUUAAGUUAAUUAGUUUGAUUAGGUGGGUGGGAUUGAUUUAAGAGAUUUGAUUAAGAAAAGGAAUUACAUGUGUAUUUGGUUGUAAACAUAGUAAUUAAUAAUGACUGAUGACGGUUGUAGGCUUAAUCCGUUUAAUUAAAAAAUUAAUUACGCACAAUUUUCACGUGUUAGAAUUAACGUUCGGUUGGAUUGUACAGUAUGUGAAAGCAUUAGACUUUUAACAACCGAAGAAUUAAAAUUAAGAAAAAUAUAAAAUAACGGAGUUGAAUAUUCUUCGUUGUUAGAAACGUUGACUUUUUUUUUUAAAUUUUGGCAUAUGGUUCGUGGGCUCUUAAUUUUAGGAAUGAAAUUAAAAAGGCCCAGCCCAUGAAAAAUGUGACAGUUGGAAUUAGCGAGCCCACAUAAUCUCCCAGCCCAAAAUCAAACUAUGUUAAUAUGUUAGUAUAAGUCGAGACAAUAUUAUAUAUAUAUAUAUAUAUUGGGAUAAUUCACCAAUUUAUUACAAUGUAUAUAUCAAUUUAUAUAUAUUUUUCAAAACCGGGUUUUUUUUUUAACGAGUUUUUAAUAAAAUUAUUAAAAUUUAUUUAUAUUUUACUUAUGUAUAUAAAGUUGUAUGUACUCGAAAUAGAAAUAAAUUUUGUAAAUUGAGAUAUGAAUUGUAACCCAAAAAAAAAAAUGUAAUGUUAAGAAUGUAUUAACUUUUAGUACAAAUAGAAUUUUAUUCUUCUUUAGCUAAUUUUUUUUUUUUUUAAUGAUCAAUAACAAAACCUUAGGAGAAAAACAGUAUACCCAGACCACAAUCUUCUCUCUCUCUCUCUCUCUCUCUAUAUAUAUAUGUACACACAUACAUACACUAUGUUCUUUUAUAGUAGAUACAUGCAUACUUGAAGAAGCAACCGCAAGGUUGCCCUAAAUAAAAUUUACCUAAGAUUAUAUCUUAAGAUAAUAUUUGGAGUGAUUAUUAGAUAUUUCAAUUAUAUAGAUAUGUAUAUAUAUAUACAUACGAGAGAAAGAAAUAUAUUAUUUUUAAGUGAAAUAGUCACUAUAGAUUAAAAAAAUUAAAAUGUAUGAUUAUGUUCGUGGGAUCUUCUAACAUCUAAUGAAUACACAUUUGCAAUAAGCUAAAACAAUCAAGUCUUCUUCUUCUUCUUCUUUUCAGAUCAAACAUACGUUUUCUCUUUUGAUAUAUAUAGCACAUACACAUAUAUAGGUCACAGGGUUCAUGUUUAAAUAGAAGGCAACAUAGCUCUCAAAUUUGAGUAUCUAAGGAGAUAUAACUUUUAUUAAGGAAAAGAGAGAAAACUAUGAGCACAUAAGCAUAUAUAAUUGAAAAUUUUGUUUAAUCAAUACAUAUAUAUAUGUAUAUGUAUAUAUAACUCUCACCUGGUGCUUACACCGCACCUUAUUAACAGAGAAGCAUCAAAGCAAGGAGAUUUCUUCCACUCAUCAGAGUGUAAUCUAAGUAUUUCCCUAGCCUUCUUCUUCAAAUAUCCAGCAGAGUCACCCUGAAGAAUCAUGAAAAGCUUUGACACUGCACCAACCCUCAACAUUUCCCCGAUAACAAUGCUCGAUCCACUCGACGCCUUACCGAUCAACGACAAUAUCAAAACGGCACGAUAAUCUGCCGUUUCUGAAACCUUCAUGAUCCUCUUUGAAACAACCGCAAUCCCACCACUGUGGCUGAGGAACUCAGCUCGUCCCUCCGCGCAAGAACAAAGAUGAAAUAAUAUCCCCAGUAUCAGCUCCGUUGUUUCUCUAUCUAACGGCGAGUCUAAUUCCAUCUCCACCAGCUCAAAAACGGCGCCGGAUUGAACCAUCAUAACCCGAUUUCUUCCCCACGAACAAACGUUUAGUAAGAUGUUCAAAACUGUGUUGAUAUUCCCAACUUGGUAACUUACGUUGUUUUUACGAGCUGUUCUUAAAACGCCGACUAGGGUUUGGAAGAAUUCGGGUUUUAGUCUCUCGAGAAAGUGAGAAUUAGCUGUUUUGAUUAUGGUUUUUAAAAUCAUCCCUGCGUAGGAUUUGACCAUGAAGGUUUGAUUUUGAUUUUCUUCAUCAUACCCUAAAACCCACGUUAAAGAUUCAAUCAUUUGAUUGUUUUCCAGGAGUUCCGACGAUGGAGUUCGGAUCAAACGAAGAAUAUUUAAAGCUUCUUCUAAACCACGAUCGAUUUUUCGCUUGUUGAAACAUGUGGUAAGAAACAUUAACAUGGCUUUUGGCAAACCAGCCUCGACCAUGUACUUACGGUUCCGAUCAUUGUCGGUGGCGAGGAUUUCUAACUGCAUUAAAACUUGGGUUUUCAAGUGAGGAUGAUCGAGAUCUCUCAUCAUCUUCAUAACACGGAACUUGUCGAGCGGGGGCUUUGGGGUGGGGAUCCUGUCAACGCCGUACGAUGCGUUGUCAGCACACCAUGAUUGGAUCAGCCGGCGCAAGGUGUGGUUCGGUGUUAGAUCGGAGUCUUUGGCUAAUGGCUGGUUUGUGACCGGACAUAAUGGGUUUUCACCGGCCGUGAGUAGCCACUUCUCGAUGCUUUCUCGGUCGUAGGUGAUGCCAGUCACCGUCGUCACCGGGUCUCUCAUGAUUUGCAGAGAUAUUGGGCAGAUAAAGAACUGAGGAAUUUGUAUGUCGACCUCCAUGGAAAAAGUAGUGAUUUACAGUGUUUGAACUUUCAAGAAAUUUUAAGAAAUCAGAAGAUAUAUAAAUAUAGUGUUAACAUAAUGAAGAAAUUUCAAGAAAUUAUAGAGAAAAUUAUGGUGGUGGAAUAUUGAAACUUCUCGAGUUUGGACUAGGGAAGAUUAAUAUAUUCUUUAUUUAUAUGGAGUAUUAAUAGAAGCUUUCUUACUUUUCUAUGUACAUAUACAUGUAUAUACACUCUGUAAGUUGGACUGAGAUUGGUAAUGGUAAGAGAAAGCGGCUUUAUUUAUAUUAACAAAAUUUGAUUGGAGAGAGACGAAGUGACCGCAGCCAUACACCGGUCCAUAAAAACGAAAUAUUCAUAACUAUUUCAUUGUUAUUUAUUUAUUUAUUUAUAAUCCACGAAUAAUUUAUUAUACUCACUAUGUAAUUUCAAUUAUUUAUUUUUACUAGGCUACAUUAUAUAUAUAUAUAUAUAUAUGUGUGUGUGUGUGUGUAAAUUACACAUAUUAUAUACAUUCAUGAGUUAUAUAUAUAUAAAUAUAAGUAAAUUGAGGAAAUGAAUUAUAAAUAUAUACUUACAUAAUUAAACGUAGCCCCCGUUUUAAGUACAUAUUAUCCAAAAUUUAAACGUUAAUUACUGAAAAACGUAUAUAUACAUAUAUAUAUAUAUGUAUGAGAAGUAAUAAAGUGGAACUCUUGCUUACUUUUGAAAAUAAAUUUCGACCGUCACCGUCUAAUUACCUGUCGUCAAUAUAAUAAUCUGAUUGGUCAAUUUUUGCAUAUUGUUUCCCGCAAUAUAUAUUACAUACAAUGUAUAUAUACAUAUUGUAUUAUACAUACAUACAUGCAUACAUACAUAUAAAUAAAGCCUUGGGUUUGUAGUUAAAAGUCUUAGUUUCUAGAAGAAUAUUAUUAAAUAACCAUCCAGUCCAGUCAUUCAUCACACAUUUCAUUGCAUGAUGUGACAGCAUAUAGUUAUAGAUGUGUACAUAUAUAAUAUAUAUCUAUAAUAUAUAUAUAUAUAUAUAUAUAUAUAUUUUGUGCAUACUGCAAUGCGUUCCAUGACCAAGAUCCAUGCUAUACAGCAGCGUUCCCCACUGCCAUCCGCCAUACAGACGAAAAAAAAAGACUUGGGCCCACGCCGAUCCCACUAUCCAGCCCAGUCAAACAAUUUAUAUUACUUUGAGUCAACGCACGGGUUUACUCCUAUAAAUUUUAUACGUAUUUGUGUAUUUAUUCUAUAAAAUAAUUUUGUAACCAGUAAUUAUUUUUAAAGAUAAGUUAAAUAUUUAUGAAUAUUACGAAAAUAUUUUUAAUUCUAAUGUAUAGAUUUUCUCGUUAUUAAUUAAUUAGAAAAUUUCAUUAAGUUUGAAUUCUAGUGGGUUCCGAGUCAACGUAUUUUGUUUGUUUGUUCUGGACAUUUGAGUAAUUGAAAUUGGUGGGGCAAAAGUAAUUUAAUAUUUGCACUGUCUUCCAUUUUUCCUCUUUAGAACACUCCAAAAAGAAUUUCUUCAGCUUUAUUUCAAUUAUUCAAGUGGCUGGUCUUCCCAAAUUGUAAUACCAGAGACUUUGAAUUAUGAUGUGUGUGUGUUUCUGUGUGUAUAUAUAUAUAUAUAUAUAAAUAUAUAUAUAUAUAUGUUAGUCUAUACACUUGUUCUUACCAUGACUAACCCACUAAUAAUGAUCUCAAAUUUAAAGUUUACUCCAAACGUAGAAUUUAUUAUUUCAUAAAUAUAUUAUAAAUUUAUAAUGUUUGAUUCAAUGUUUUAGGAAAUAAAAAAAAAAAUUAUGUAAGAUAAUGGUAUAAAAUUUCAGUAAAUUUAUUAUAUUUUUAAAUAAAAAUAUUUUUUUUUAUAGUGAUAUAACAAAUAAAAAAUAAAUUCAAUAUAUCAUAUUUUUCAUAGCAUUUUUUAGGUAAUUUGUUUUUAAUUUGAAAAGACAAAGAAAGUUUUGUCUUGCUAGCUAGGUAAAACAAAGCCCGAUAUGGAUCUCCAUUUAUUGCGCGGAGCCUUGUUAAAUUUGGACCGUUCGAUCAGUGCACUCAGAUGAGGUGCACGGGAUAACAAAAAAUGUUGAAACAGGGGAUCCAAGUUGAAGAUAUCAAGAAGUUAUGAAAGCUCUUCAGACGAAACAAAGAAAUCUUGAAGAAAAGAGCUGGAGGAGAGAGAGAGAGAGAGAGAUGAAAAGAGGAGAAGAGCUCUGGCUGGCGGGAGGUUGUCGUGCUUGGUUUCCGCGAAAAGGUAAAAAGAAACGUCGAGGAAUAGGACUGAGAAAUUUAAAAGCUCUGGUUUUUCCUUUGUCACUUUUCAGUGAUUAAAGAAUCUGUGUCUUAAGCGGACAGCACAGCAAGAGAACUAAGUCAUUCCAGUUCUCCACAAGAGAAUAGGAGUUUUGGUUGUAUUCGUCAUUGGUGGUCUCACUAAUGGUAGAACCCGAAUUUAUUUUCUGUAAUUUGCGCGAUUUAUCAUUAAUUUUCUUUCAAUGGGUUGGUUAUUGAGAGUUGAAUGUAUGUUUCAUUUUCCGUAAUCGUGCUUUUGUUAUUAGUUCUUUUCACAUUUUAUUGAUUUGUGGCUGAAAUGAGGAGAAUUGGAUGAUGGUUUGUGUUAUAUAGAGUGAGAAAUAAUGUGAGUUAAGAGAUUGAACACUAGCUGUUUGGUUAAAUGUCUCAGUGGAGUUUUCUCACUUUGCAUAGGAGAGUCAAUUUGCCUUAUUUGCUACAACACAUACUGCUAUAUACUCAGCUUAGGCUGUUGAUUGAGCAACAGUAUCUUAUUUUUGACUUACCCCAGAAAACAUACCAUUUCCAAGUGAGAAUAAUGACUUAGCCAAGAAAACAUACCAUUUCCAAGUGAGAAUACAUAGCCUGAAUUCAUAUCAUCCAAAGGUCCAGCCCAAUCACUAUCUAAAUUAACUAAUCAACUUUGAGUUUUCAAUAUCUGAAGUUCCUCUUAGAUAGUGAAGAACUCUUUUACUGUUUGCAGAUGUACUUAGGUUAGCUUCUGCAUAAAUUUGGAUAACAUAUUUAUAAUAUACAUC
rnacentral:lncRNA from 1 species